rnacentral:rRNA from 1 species
AUGUCAGGCAAAAAGUUUCAAUCUAUUGCAACCAAGUCAAUUGUUUCCAUGCUUAGGAAAAAACCUAAGGAUGUUGUCGAUGAAAGACGCUCCGGUUGCUCUCAAAGAACCAUGGAGUCCAGCACAAAAACACCGGAAGAGAGGCACUAUGUGAGUAUGCAGUGGGCAUUGUUUUUCUACGAGUGUGGCAUUCCUUUCAAUGUUGCAAGCUCUAGGCAAUUCCAGAUUGCAAUAGAAGCCUCUUGUCAAUAUGGCUCGGAUGGCUGGUCCGAUAAAAGGGGACGCUACUUGAUCAACUUCCUUGUAAACAGCCCGGCGGGCACUUACUUCUUGGAGUUGGUUGAUGCAUCAAGUGAAUGCCAAGAUGCUCGGAUGAUAGCAGAUUUGCUAGAGAAGAGAAUCGAGGAUGUCGGUAAAGAGUAUGUUGUCCAAGUUGUCACCGACAAUGGUGCUAACUACAAGGCAGCGGACAAGAUACUAAUGGAAAGGAUUCCUACACUAUAUUGGAGUCCAUGUGCAUGCCAUUGCUUGGACCUAAUCUUGGAAGAUAUAGGGAAGCUAAAGGCAUUUAAGAAGCCUAUUGCACGGGGUAGAUGA